UUUAAUUUUGUACUGGAAUUUGAACAGUAGCUCGCUGCUGGGGAUUAGAGUAUGAUGAGUAUCUCUCCUUUCCGUUGAUACUUCCUUACAAAGUCGACUGGAAGAAAUCCUCCACCUCAGCAUACAUGAAGUCAUAGCAAGAAGCAGUGAAAGCCACAGCAGAGAUUGGAUGGAGCAUAAUUUUUUCUAUGUCUCGGCGCCUCUAUGGAUGUCAUAUUUAGAUCAGAUGCAAUCUGAGCCUUGUUCUGAAUUUCAAAAUCCCCUUUGACAACACCUGCACAGCUGAGCAAUCAAGGACCUUCUGACUAAGGGCUGAUUUAUAGUGAACACUGCCAUUCAGAGACUUUGAAACAGAUUGAUGAAUGAACCACAUGCAUUAUGUCAGAGGAAUCUAGCUGGAGCACCUAUUUAGCAACCAGGACACAUACAUGUAGAUGUACCUGUACAGUUGAUACAGAUAAUCUCAACGGCACAUUUCUGAAUGAUGGCCAAAAAAUCUAAUAAAGACACUGUCAGUUUAAAACUUUUUGAAAGAAAUCCAGACCAGAAACAAAGGAUAUUG